rnacentral:rRNA from 1 species
GGAGGCGAUCAUACCAGCACUAAAGCACCGGAUCCCAUCAGAACUCCAAAGUUAAGCCUGCUUGGGCGAGAGUAGUACUAGGAUGGGUGACCUCCUGGGAAGUCCUCGUGUUGCAUUCC